CUACGCCGUGCAAGCCGACAACGGCAUCAACACAGCCGUUGAAGGAGUUGUUGGAUCUGCCGGUCAGAUAAAUCAGCAGGGAUCUUACACCUAUACCCUUGAAGACGGUACCCAGGCUGUUGUCACCUACAUCGCCAACGAGAACGGCUUCCAGCCCCAGUCCAGCAUCCUGCCCACUCCCCACCCUCUUCCCGCCCACGUCUUUGAGCUGCUGGAAAUCGCUGAGCGUCAGCGCGCUGCUGGCAUCGUGUUCAACUAAGAAAAUAAGAAAAUUCUAUUUAUGGGAGUGAUAUGGAUGUUGAUGCAAUAAAGUUUACGAUUGAAA